AGCGAACGCUGGCGGCAGGCCUAACACAUGCAAGUCGAACGAACCUUUCAGGGUUAGUGGCGGACGGGUGAGUAACACGUGGGAACGUGCCUUUAGGUUCGGAAUAACUCAGGGAAACUUGUGCUAAUACCGAAUGUGCCCUUCGGGGGAAAGAUUUAUCGCCUUUAGAGCGGCCCGCGUCUGAUUAGCUAGUUGGUUGAGGUAAUGGCUCACCAAGGCGACGAUCAGUAGCUGGUCUGAGAGGAUGAUCAGCCACAUUGGGACUGAGACACGGCCCAAACUCCUACGCGAGGCAGCAGUGGGGAAUCUUGCGCAAUGGGCGAAAGCCUGACGCAGCCAUGCCGCGUGAAUGAUGAAGGUCUUAGGAUUGUAAAAUUCUUUCUCCGGGGACGAUAAUGACGGUACCCGGAGAAGAAGCCCCGGCUAACUUCGUG
rnacentral:rRNA from 1 species